ensembl:lncRNA
GUGGGUUUUGAACUCGAUUACAGCUGGAGGAAUUCUAAACAGUCCACCUCUCCUUGUCGUGGUGUUUAAGUGUAUUGUGCUCCUGUCUGAACAGAGGAAAUCACUGAGAGGUCAAAGUCUACUGCAAACGGUGACUGAUACAAUCCCCCAUACCUCUAACCCAAAGUCUACUAUCAAGCUGUCUCGAGAGAGAGAAGUCUUUAAAGAGACCAGCUUUGUACCUAUAAAUAAUGUACACAGCAGAGUACAAAAAUGGAGUCAAGGAGAGGCUCCACCUUACCUGAAUGUAAUUGUGAAGGCCGGUAUUGUGAGCUCCAUGAGGAUAGCUGUACCCCUGGUGAAGCAGAAGGCUGCAAGAAGCACUGUCACCCCUGUCAUCCAUCUUGACUAAACUACUUGUGGGAUCUGAGUCUUGCUCCAACAUUGAACAUCAAACGGAAGAGACAACCCGCUGUCCUCUGUAUUUAGAUUUCUGGUAUAUGUGCAUGCAGAGCUGAUUUGUCCAUAAUUGUUUGCUUUCUUCAGAGUCUUUUGAAGUUUAUGUGUUCAAGCCAGUCCCUUAUAUUAAAUUCUUCCAAGCCACCAAUAAAAUGUCAACUGUGAUUAAAGCCUGACUCCUCAUUUUAAGACUUGUCUCCUAAGCAAUGUGAGGUCACUCUGUGAGUCAGCGUUUGAAAGGACCGUUAUUCCUGAGAGCAUGGGUAAAGCCCAAAGUUAUUAGUUGCUUGCUUAAAUGGUUUUGCUGCAUCUUAAAUUGCUUUGCAUUGUACUGAAAGAAGUGUAAACUGUGGAGCCAGUUUGGCACAGAACUCAUAUUUCAGGUAUGUCAGAUCUUGAAAAAAAUCCUCUAUAUUAACGUAGAAGUUGGCAUUUCUGGUAGGAAAAGUUUUACCUCCUAUGUAUUAAAGAGGAGGGUGGAGUGGGAAGCUGUGCUUGAGGCAUAAACUUUCAACUAUGUUCUGUUGAAAUAAAACUUGGGAACUGUAAAAUCUCUGGGCAAGGGCUCUGUCUUUUGUACAGUGCCCAGCAGAACUGAGCCAAAGGCUGAUAGGGCUUUCUGGACUUCAUUAAUUUUGUUUACUUUAUUAAAAAGCUAAAAAAAAAAUAGCAGGGCAUUAAAGCUGCAAGUGGAUGCCCUGAGAAGCAAGGAAAUAACUAUUUUUAAGAUAGUCUAUGCAGCCUGUUUAUUCUUUUUGUGCAUGUUAAUUAUAACAGUCUUUAAUUACAUGAUCAUGUUUUCUUCUGUCACUCUUCCUCCCUGUUUGAUGGGGUCCACACUGUGCGUAUUUGGAGGCAAUUAAUCAUGCCGGAGCAAUGAAUAACUCGGAGCAGGACUCUGCCUCCGACUCCAGCCUAUCUGCGUCAAUCUUGGGUCUCCCCAUCCCUCUCUCUGCCCUUUUCCUACCCUCCUGAUUAACUCCUGCCCUGGUUCCUCACUGCUCUGCAUUCAAACCAAACCCCUUUGUCUCGCGCUGUCCGUGGAGAACCCUUGGGUCUGUUUGCGCUCUGUCUCGGUAUCGAGGAGGGAAUGGGGAGCUGUUGGCCGGGAGAGGCAACCUGAGGGGAAAGUCCUGCUGGCCUUUUUUCCUCCUGCGGUGCAGCGUGCUCAGGCCUAGAGGCAGGCAUUCAGCUCAUUUUGCUGCCAAACACCUCACCGACCAUGCCGCAGCAAGGAUUAUCGGAGGUUUGAAAUGGUAUGAAAUCUGUUACGAGUUUUGCCAAGUUUCAGGUUGUUUCCCCCAUCCAUUCUC